UAAGAUGGACCCAGCAAUGUU
rnacentral:piRNA from 1 species